rnacentral:rRNA from 1 species
UACGGAGGGUGCAAGCGUUAUCCGGAUUCACUGGGGUUAAAGGGUGCGUAGGCGGACAGGUAAGUCAGUGGUGAAAUCUCUGGGCUUAACUCAGAAACUGCCGUUGAUACUAUUUGUCUUGAAUAUUCUGGAGGUAAGCGGAAUAUGUCAUGUAGCGGUGAAAUGCUUAGAUAUGACAUAGAACACCGAUAGCGAAGGCAGCUUACUACAGAAUGAUUGACGCUGAGGCACGAAAGCGUGGGGAGCAAACAGG